AUACAAUGGUAUAACAAAAAUCAACUUUUUUUCCCCUUGAAAUAAGGUUUAAUGUGGAGUGGACAUGUAAUAACAGAAAUGAUGAAUGAUGUCAUAUCAGAGCGAAAAUAGAUGAGAGCAACAAAAUAAUCGAAAAAUCACAGAAAGAUUACCAAAAAGCCAUCGCGAUGGAUAUUUAUGAACACGCAGCAACAGUCCUUUGUCAGUUAUUAGACGCUCGUUACAAAGAUGACUGGCUGAAGAAAACUGAAGUGCUUGGGAGGUUACUGAUUGAUUUUCAUUGUAGGAUCACAGAACUGAAACUGAAGAAGAGUGUUUCAAACAGCGAGACAACUCUGACACCCUCCACCUUGAUGUCGAAAAAAAGAAGCUUAGAGGAUAUUUCAUAGAUUAUUAUUUGAACAAUGACUUGUAUCAAGUUUGUUGUGUUUUUAAAACCUAUUUAUACUUUGGCCCGACUCAAGCGAACAUUUUAUUUUGUUUGAUUUUAUUUCCUGGCUCGUCUUUAUCACAAUCAGUGGAGUAACGUUGCCUGUUGGCGCCUCUGCUGAAAAAGCGCCCCUAGCCUGUUGGUGCCCCCUUCCCUUUUGGCGCCCCUCCCUAAAAUUGAACAGAUUAUAUUAUUUUAGAGGAUACGCCGGUAAAAUCUCUAAAAAGAGCAAAACGCGCAGUUUUGCUAGUACCGUAGUUGUCCCACAUUUAAACAACAAUUUGGCGCCCCCCCCCCUAAGAUUGCACAGCGGGGUCGGUUGGCCCUUCGUUAUGCCACUGAUCACAAUUGUUUUUAUUUAUUAUUAUUUUUAUUCUUAUCAAAUUAUGUUCAUAUGGUUAUUCAGUCUGAUAAUUUAAUUUGGAAAUUGUACUGAAUCUGUUUGUCAAAUUAAACAAGUACAGAUGCAGCAACACAUUUUAGUGUAUUGCUUAGACUUUAGACGGACUCAACUUAAACGUAUUUUGAAAAAGUCUACCGUUGUUGGAAUUCAUUUUUGGGGUGCUGAACUUUGAUAUUAAAUUAUUUUGAAACACUAGCAAAAGAUAGAAUGCAAAAUGUUUUAGCAAGCAACUAUUAAGUAAAACAAAAUUUAAGUAAAACAAAAUUUAAAUUUUAUUGCCAUUACAAUGAAUAAUGAUAUCAUAAUAAAUAUAAGUAGACAUCCGAUAAUAAACUUGUUACAUCCAGUACAACCCAAGAUGUCAGCCGACGCGACUUACAAAAAUAAAGAAAGCUAGCAUGUUAUGUUCAUUGUUCAUAGUUUUUCUAACGAGCAUGCUUAGCACUUAGGCUGUACUACGGAAAUAGCUUUAAUUCUACGUCAUAUUAAAAACUUUACAUCAUUUUUGAGAUAC